AAAGUGAAAAUGAAACAGUGGUGGAGAAUGCUCCUUUGCUUCUACAGAAGAGUGGAUUGAAGACAGCAUUUGGCAGAAAUUAGAAGACUUUACAGAAAAGAAAUGUGUUCUUUCUUCUUUUUUUCCUUCAUAACGGACCAAAUAUUGCCUACUUGCCAUAGACAUCUGCUGUCAAUACGUGCUGUAAUUUGACAUUCUGAAUCACAGACAUGACGGCAUUGAAAACGUACUUAUACUUGUAAAAAGAAACCAGACAUCCCUUCAAAGUUUCUACACUACUUCUUAAACUGGACCUUUGUCUGCCGUUUAGGCCGGCAGAGUUACUUGAAUCUUCAGUCCAGGCUCUGGACGCGCAGGCUCAGCGGCCAAGGCUCAUGGGCCCAGCCGCUCUGCGGCAUGUGGGAUCCUCCUGGACCGGGGCAAGAACCCGUGUCCCCUGCAUCAGCAGGUGGACUCUCAACCACUGUGCCACCAGGGAAGCCCUGGAUUUACAGUUUUAAACAGUCAUUUACUAAGUCAUUUUGCUUUUAUUUUGAAGAAUAUAAACUGUUGUUUCACUUACACAAAUCAGCAAGAUCUAAUUUAUGGCAAGAAAUAUUCCAUUGACAUUGUUGUGCUGUAACUUGGGAAAAUGUAAAUCUUUUUCACGGUUUCUAUCAAAGUGAAAUAAAAUUUAAUUCUGAAAAAAAAAAAAGAAAGAAAGUCAGUCACACUGGGAAGAACAUUCGUCGAGUGAUCUCUUACUUGAACAUUGGUCGACUGAUCUCUUACUUGAAACACCUAUCUUUCCAAAGAUUAUGACGAGAAGAAGGUUUGAACAAAUAAUGACAUUUCUUCACUUUAACGAUAACUCAGAAACUCCACUUCCUGCAGACAGAAUUUCAAAGUUAAACCUCUUUUGGAUUAUUUUCUGCCAAAAUUUCAAUUGUUCUAUGUACCCAAACAAGAGCUAUCACUUGAUGAGGCAAUGAUAAGGUGGAGAGGACAACUCAGAUUCAAAACCUGUAAUCCUGGAAAACUUACAAAAUAUAGAAUUUUGGUCAGGAUGUUUAGCGAAAGUGAAAUUGGAUGUAUAUGCAGCCUUGAGAUUUACAUGGGUGAAGGAAAGAAACUGCAAGAAACAAUAUUGUUGGUCCUACAACCUUAUCUUGGUUCAUGGCACCAUAUUUACCAAGACAGUUAUUACAACAGUGUGCUCACAUCUGAAAUAAGAGAGAAUCGUGGUCUACUAAACCAAUUAAAGGAGAAAUCUAAAAAUCUACAGAGGGGAGAAAUGACAUUCUUACGGAAGGGAAAGUGAUUCUUCUUAUAUGGAAAGACAAGAGGCUAGUCCUCGUGGUGACAACUAUUCAAGACACCUCCAUAGCAUCUACAGGAAAGGAAUGCAGGAGGACUGGCCAUCAGAUAACUAAGCCCACUUGUAUAUAAGAGUAUAAUAAAUAUAUGAAAGGAGUUGAUCAAUCCAAUCACUAUCUGGCAAACUUCAGUAUCCUCUGGAAAACUCGCAAAUGGUUUAAGAAAGUGGGUUUCUAUUUGAGUAAUUGCGGUUUAUUCAAUGCGUUUAAAAUUUAUUGUAGCUUUAUUGCACAGAGUAAAAUGACUUACAAGCAGUUUUUGUUAGCAGUAGUUAGAGAAUGGGUAACUGACCAUUCUGGUGAAUAUAGUGGUAGUCCUGCACCUGGUCCUUCAAGCCCCCCGCACAGAUCCACCUUGUCGACUAUCAGGUGAAAUAAAAGAACAUAUUCUAGAGGAAAUAACACCCACAGGACUAAAAAAAAUGCUGCCGGGAAUUGUAGAGCCUGCUCUUCCAGGGGAAAGCACAAUGAAACACGGUAUAUUUGUAAUAGAUGUUCUGUUCCCUUGCAGAGAGGUGCCUGCUAUACUGCCUAUCACACUCUAAUGAAAUAUUAGAAUGCUUUAGUAAGACGUAUACAAAGUUUCAAAUAAAUACAUUAAGUGCAAAAAAAGUUGCUGAUAUUUACUCAGACGCCGGUGUUUCAAUAGUCACUUAUGUAACAAAUUGCCAGGCAUGGGCGUUAGUUUCGGCAAAAAUCCCCUGGUCAGUAAUGUGUUAAUUUGGCUAGAUUUAGUAGAAAUGAGGAUAAGUUAGAGAGAAAAAUUAUGUUUCAAUAAUAUACCUUUGGAUAUUGAAGUUUUGUAUUUACUGAGGUUUUGUAUUUAUUCUCUACGUCCAAGAUGGCUCCUUGUUACUAUGUUACAUUAUUGUAAAGUUUAAUUGAAUUAUUAAAAUAAUAUUCUAAGCUUGUUUCUAAAGCCCGUCACAGUAAUCUGUCUUUGGAUGAAGAUCAGAUGCCCUGUGACUUGCAACUAGGAGAUUAUGCACCCUGGAAAAGACAUCAUUUAAAGGACUGUCUCCAAAUUAGACAAAAGGACCCUUAUCAGGAACCAGAAGCCCAGGAAGCAGAUACUGAGUGAAGGAUGGAAACCACGCUGUUGAAAGCUUGCUUUGUGCUGGUUCCUUCGUGUGCGGUGCCUUCAAUCCUACAGCUGGGUGUGGCUUUCCACAUCCUGGAGGGGAAGAAGCAGAGGCUAGGCAAGGCCAAAUGGCCUGCCUGGGGUCCCUUGGCGCUGUGCGUCAGGGCUGGAUGGGUGCUCCAGAUGCCUGCUUUCACAGGGGCUCUGUGUGCCUCCUCUCUGCCACAGAGGCCGAUCGCGGCUUCACUUCACUGUGGAAGGAUCUGAGGAGGGUGCAGUUGCAGGCAUGGUUUGCACAGGAUGUGAAGAGAAGAUUCAAGGGUCAACCCAGAAUAAGGUCGUGUGGGACUGCCCUUUCAAGUCCUUCCUAACUUUGAAAUUCCACAGUCGUGUGAGGUGGGCUUGGUAUGUGAUCUUUGUGUAACAGAUGAAUGGAGUGGAAAGAGUAUUGGGUUUGGAAAUUGGAGGUUACCAGGCGGCCUUUGGCAAAUCAUUUAACUUGUCUGAGCCUGAUUUCCCCCAUCUCCAAAUGGAGAUGAUUCCACUCAUCUCCCACAGGAUGUGAAUGUGUGCUGGGUACCAACAGACUGCUGUCAGGGAGCAGGACAGUUGCAGCUGGGAGGCACACUCACAGUGAAAUGGGGACAUUAUUUGUACCUAUCUCACGUGAUGGUUGUGGGAUUGAAAUGACACGUGCCAGGCACCGAGACUGGCAAAGAGCCAGUGCUUAGUCCUGGGGGCUCUGUUUAUUUUUAUGUUGAUGGAGGCGCUUAGGAGAGAGAGCUCUGGCAGAGAAGCAUUUCCCCCACUCUGCCUCCUGCUCUGCACCUACCAUGAGAAGCCCCUUAUAGGCAUAGACGAUGCCAAGCCAGAUGGUCAUGUGGGUGUUCUCGCAGUGCUCUAGGAGAGGGCGGAUGGAGAUGUCCCGUCCUGCCGGGUCCGGCUGUGCAAAGAGAAAACAGAAACCCAGGGAUGGCACUGGGCACCCUCCCAGCAGCCAGGUCCCUGUUUCAUAGCCCUUUUCCCUCCCAUGAGCCACAGCCAGUGCUACCAUCCAGGAGGCCUUUUGGACCCCAUCUCUGUGUUCCAUGGGACUCAGGCCUCAACCAUUUUUGACUGCCUUCUGUUUGUUGGUCGUGAUUCAGCUCUGACCUUCAGUUAUCUGAGUUCUUCAUGCAUUUCCAGCUUGAGUCAGAGCUCAGGAGUAGGGACUGGGUCACUUCUGUGCCCCUAGUACCUAGCACAAGACCUGGCCCAGAGCAGGCAUCUUUCUAUAACAUUUGUUAAAAGAGUAAGGGUGAGAAUGAAGCACAAAGUUAGGUGUGGAGGCCUUCAGGUGUCUCUGGAAUUAGGUAGUUGGGAGAUAGUGUCUACUGGCUAGACCAAGCACGGGGCCUGCCAAACCCUAUAAGGAAGGAGAUCUUCUUGCCCACCACCUCCAUGGAGGGAGCAGUGGUGGCAGCUGUGUUAUGUACCACAUGAUGCACUCUGGGCCAGAGUUGAUUGGACAAGGGGUGGGCACCUGACCUUAGGUAGCCAAUCUGAGGCUUGUCAGGGACAUAUGAGGUUUCCUAGUGCAAAGUGCUCUCCCAAAGAGGGGUGGUGGAGAGGAUCCAACCCAAGCACCGUUCUCUCUCUCAGGAAUUUGAACUGAGAAGCUCCAGGAGAGAAUCAGCCAGAUGGCGGCAAGAGGAGAAAAAGACAACAAGGGAGUGAAAAAAUAUAUACUGUAG